rnacentral:lncRNA from 1 species
GAAAAGAACAAAGUUUUGUCCAUCUUUGUUCAUCAUAGCCGAAAGUUAGAGAAGAGAAAUGAGAGGAGAAAGCUCUUGAGUAUUCGGUCACUAGGAGGAGGAAAAUUGAAGGCGGUUCGUGUGUGGAUCUCGUCAGCAUAUCGUCACAAAUAGGUGUGUAACUAACACCCUCUUAUAGACUAGAUUGGCACAAGCUGAAAAGUCGAAAUGCCGAAAAGACGGUAUUUUGAGAUCUUGCGAGUGCGUGAAUGCUCAUGAGAUUAAUAGUUUGAUGUAUAUGGUAAAUUAAAGUGAUAAGACUGCAGAGUGCGCGAUUCUGUGCAUUUCGAUAUUUUUGGGCUUAAUGGGCCAAAAACGGGAUAAUGGGCCAACGGGCCCAAAUUGGUAAGAAAACGUGGUAAGUGUUUCUGAUCGUACGUAAAUGGCUAUGUUAUGUAUGAAAACCUUAAGAAUAGUUAAAUUACUUGAAUACCCCUAUGUAUGCAAAAUUACCAUUAUACCUUUAGGGUUACUUUUGACUGAAAAGCAUGACGACUGAUUCUGUAUGAUGUAUGCCAUGAUUAUAUAUCUGUUGCAUGGGGACUUGGGUUAUACUAUGGAGGAAGCGUCCUGGUGGUUAUGCCACAAUUAUCUGAUCUGGUGGCUCUACCACAUAUAUCUGUCCUGGUGGCUAUGCCACAAUUAUCUGAUCUGGUGGCUCUGCCACAUAUAUCUGUUCUGGUGGCUCUGCCACAAUAUCUGUAUCUGGUGACUUCGUCACAAUAUCUGGCAGCCUCACUACGAUUUCUGUGGUGUGUAGCGGUUGGGUGGGUCGAGUAGUCUCCCCACAUGGUGUAAGGCUGGUACGGAGGUGUUAUGGAUGAAUCUGGGUUGGGUUUUUGCAUAAACAUGUAAUAUCUGUUCUGUUCUGUUAUGGGCCUAUGGGCUUUAUUCUGAAUUCUGUUCUGGGCUAAGGCCAACUUAUUCUAUUUCUGUGGUUUGAGCUGAUAUAGGCUAUGGUUGGGUUAAUUUACACACUGAGUUUCCCCAAACUCACCCCUUUUAUUUUCAUCCACGCAGGUAAUCCCCAACCAUAGUGGGCUUGGAGCUGUGAGGGAAUUCGGAGUGGUCACCCGUUCUGAAAGUUUGAUUUUCUUCUGGUGAACUG